CUGAAUAAACUCGUUUUUACAUUUAACUGCUUUUCAAAGCAGUUUUUUAUAAUCGCGGGAUUUCCUACAGGACCCUGAACGCCUCUUAACUGUUUCAGUUUGUUCUCCGUGAAGGUAAGUCAUAAAUCUGCUUUUCUUCUUCUGUUUAUCCGGUGUAUCCACCUGUGGAAGGUUUGGUGUUUUUCUCUGUUGGUAAUGUGACAAGAGACACGAUUUAUAUCAUGGCAGAAUACGUUUAAUAGAUUUUUGUUUGAAUAAAAGGUAUUUAGAUCUGCAGUUGGAUCAACCGUUAGCUUCCCUUGUAGUUUAACGCAGCUAACUUCAUGUGUGCUGUUUAAACUUAAUCAAAAGUUGUUUCGCUUAAUGAGAAAUGGUGUCAGAUGUUUUUAACAUUCUAGUUUUUUCUGUUUGAAGUUAAAUGUGUAGUCGGUUCAGCCCAAAAGCUACUAACGGCUCCAACAGCUAAUGCUAGUGUUGGAUUCAGACAGAAAACCGUCGAUUCUGCUACACUAAAAUAUUAUUUCUUUCUUUCUGUAAAGUGUAGAAACACGCAUAGAUUAAUGAGGAAACCCCCAAAUGAGUAAAAUCAGCUCAUUUUAAGCAGUGACUGUAAGGUUCAUAUUUGACAUUACAUCGCUGCAGUACUUUUAUUUAGAAAAUUACCAGUGCUUUUACAUUAAAACCGUGUGUGAUUUCCUGUCUAGCCCUAUGUUAACUGCGGAAAUCAACGUGUCGCAGAAGUGGCUCUCGGCAAAAUUAUAACCCGAUCCUAUCUUUAGCGGAGCGGUGUGCGGGUUUCGGUACGGGAUCUGCUCGGGUACAGGAUCGGCUCGGGGUCCUUCGACUGCCGAUGACGUCAACGUGGUUGAUUGGCUGAACAUGAAGCUUACGGAAGUGACGUAAUCACGUUAUGAUGAUAUAGUCUUAGCGGUUGUAGUCCUGUAGUCCAAAAAUCAACACGUUUUGGAGAAAAUAUGUUUGAAUUUCUAAAGGAAAUGUAAAAUAUAAGCAAUUGAUAAACGGUGACCCUCAAAAUCUCUUGAAGUUGAUGAAAUGGGGCAAAAUAAAAUAUAAUAACUUUAUUGAAAGACACCAAGCAACAUUUAGAGUCAAAGAAUGUAUUUAGAUAACAACUAAGGAAAUAUACAGACGAACUCCACAUUAAUACAAACAGAUAUGGCUUCACAUAUAAGAACUGUCCUAUUGUUUGUCAGUCCGAUGUUGGUUUUAUGCAGUUUCACAUUCUUUACAAAACAAAGAUAAUAUGGUGUUUUAUUAACAAAUUACAAUUAUAAAGAAAACAUUUAGGUGUUAACAAACAAGAAUUUAUUAACAACACUGCUGACGUCUUUCCAAAACGUAUGUGUGAAAGCCGAGUAGAGUUGCAGUCAUGUGAAGUCAUCGGCAGUCGAAGGACCCCGAGCUGAUCCUGUACCGACACUGGCUUCCUCAAUGAUCCAACACAAGAUGAAUGCAGUAGUAUAUCACUGCAGAAUCUAACCCUAACCCAGGCAAAAAAGGGUUUGGGGUAUUUCUUAUGAAGAAAUUACAAUAUCACAUGGUACAAUGUUCCAAAAAGUAGAUUUUUUUAAUGAUCUGAACAUUUACAAAAACUGUUCAAUCAAUGAACCUCUGUCCACAGUCUUGCGUUUUAUGUGAUAUUAGUUAUAGCUCCCCCUUCAGUUCCAGAACGUAAGUGUUGCAUUUUCCAAAUAUGGAAUGAGUCUGACUGGUAGCCCUACAACGCCUCUUUCUUCGUGCUGCAGCCAGGGCCUUCUCGCUACUUGGGCCAGCUCCUCCAGGAGAAUCCCAAGGUGUCCCCUGGCCAAACGAGUCCUUCCAGCGUAUCCUGGGUCUUCCCUUUGGUCUCCUCCCAGUUCGAGCACAAAUGUUUUAUUGUUAAAAUGUUAUAAUUAAAACAGUUUUUUCUUUGUCUGGCUUUUAUAGAUUAACAGAUAAUGUACAGGUCAAACAGCGCUGAGCAGAUAACAGAAUAUCUAGUGGUAAAAUCCAACAAUAUAAAAUCUUAUGUAACAUGAUAUGUUUUUGUUUUCUUUUUUAGACUGAGAGCUUUGAGCGUGGUUUGGUGCAUCAGCAGAAAGAACGUGAUUCCUUCUUCUGUGCUUACAGAAUAUUUCCUGUGUAUCCUGUGGUGACUGGUGAGUAAAACAUGUUAAAUGUAUGAUGGAGGUUUUUCCAGGUUUUCUACAGAGGUUAAAAACAGCUGUUGUCUGAAGAGUGUCUGCUGAUGUGGCAACAGGUAAUCAGGGAGACACCGAUAGCAGAUGUGCAAAACAAGGUAACACAAACACGGUCACUCUUGCCCCUCCCAUUGGCCAUCAUUCCCAGGCCAAGUCUGGCAGAUGUGGAACCUGCAUUGCCAGAGAAAACAAGAAAGCGCUAAACAUUGGUCGCCAUUUUCUAGGACCAAACGUCUUUGACUUGGGCUUUUCUUUCAGUCAAGAGCAGGUAGAGGUGCUUAAGUGUAUCUAGAGAUGCUCCGAUCUGAUCAUGUGAUUGGAAAUCGAGUCUGAUAUCGUGAUUUUUCAAUGGGCCUGAAUGAACUCUAUCAGAGUUUCUCAGAAAAAUUAGUUGUGCAGACUUGCACAUGCACCCACAUACAUAACAGACUCACUGCUCAGUAGAAUGAGCAAACAUAGAAACUGCAGCAGGCUGGAGGGUUUCCACUCCACCUAGAUCACUAGAAGAAAGGGAGGAGAAUGUUUCCUUUAUGGAGGCAAGCGGCUCUGAGCUGUAACGUUUUCAUAUCGACCUGUGAGAUGACUCUUGUCGUGAGUUGCCACUAUGUAAAUAAACUUAAUUGAAUGAAUUCUGAGUGGAGGUGUGGUCAUGACUCAGCUGGAGUCCAGUGCAGUUCUGUCAUUUAACGUCACCUUGUACCUUUUAGCCAUCAGCUGUGGCAGAUUCAGAAUCAAUUUAGAGCAGAGUUUUAACCUGGAGAUGGACAAAUGGCUAUGGUUUGAAGAUGAAUUAUGAAAUUUUAAGUAAGCGGAGGCUUACAGCUGUGCUUUGUGAUAAAGUAGGCCCAAGUCUAAAAUGACGCCAGUUAUUCAUUUAUGUUACUAAUUACUUGCAGUCAGUCUGAUUGUUUAGGUCACCAAGCAGAAUUGGGAUAGCUAAAUAGUAAUUUUAAGGAUGUUUUACUCACAAUGCUAGUUGGAUCCAUUCACUUACUGUGUUUUAUGCUAAGCUAAAGGAGUACAGCCGGGUUGGGAGCAUGACUGGGCUGGUUACAAAUUGAUUUUUUCCUACUUAUUGAAAUAUUAAACAAAAAAAUCUGAGAAAUAUGUCAAUAGACAAAUUAAAAUUUUGGGUGGAAUAUCCCUUUAAGGAGGACACUAUGCUACAUGCUUGAAGGAUCCCAUGUUCCUGAGAAGGCUGUGUGAAGAAAACCUGGCUGCAUGUGGGCGGGCCGACCAGUUUGAUGUUUGUGUUUAACCAAAUGAUUUCUUAGCUGUUGUUAUUAUUAACCAUAUUUCAUCAGCUUCCAUAGCUUCAGAGUAGUAGCAGCUCUAGAUUUUGAAUAUGUACACACACACACACACACACACACACACACACACACACACACACACACACACACACACACACACAUUGACCCUUUGAAUUUAUGUCACCUGAUCUCAUAGGUCCAUCAUAGCAGAGGGUAACAGUGAAUUAUGAAAGUAUUGAACGAUGGGCAAAGUGACGACUGAAGUUGUUUUCUUUACCAGUUUAGUCUGGCUUCUACUUGUUCUAGCCCAGUUCACUUGUGGGAAGGUUUAGUACUAGUGUUCACAAUAGUUAAGUGUUAACUAGCUUAAGAACAUUAGCUCACGUUCUCCCUGCUGUUGGACACCAAUGUAAACAAAUUGCCCAGUUUGCCAGAAUGCACCCUGCUGGAUUUCUAACAUUAGGGGACAACCAGGGUUCACCUUACACCGGAGAUGAUUAAAAACAACUUUAAAAGUCUGGAUCCCUACCAUUUGUUUUUGUUUUCACUGGCUGGGUCAUCGGGUUUAGAUGCUACUUUCACACUGGGGCAAGACGCUGAAGCUCAUCAUGCAAAAUAAAUGAUGUCAUUUUCACACGUAAUCAUUUAUUGGAACUAUAUUACUGGCAUAUAGUAAUUCACUAUAGUGAAUGGUAAUGUAUAUCCUUCAAAGUGAAAUACCGGAGUAUCAAUACUAAAAAGAUAUGUAAACAUGGCAUUUAUCAUUUCAGGUCCAUCUUAGCCAGUCACUGUCUUUCUCAUUACAUAUUUGAAUGUUAGCCAAAGGUGCUCUCUGUAAAUCCAAUAAUACUUUGACGACUGCUAGUCUGAUUGGCUGCUGUGAUUUAUUCGUGUCCUCGGUCUCUAUCAAAGGCAUCAAAACCAGACUAGUUGAAUCUAGACCUGUGUCUGUUAUAGAGGUGUGAAUCUUCACUUGUCUCCCGAUUCGAUUACGAUUAUUGGGUCAACGAUUCAAUUCGAUUCGAUAUCCCGAUGCAUCACGAUGCAUCACGAUUAUUUCAUAUUGAUUUGUUUUCAUCGAUAAAUAGAACAUGUCAGAUAAUUGCUUUUUUUAAAAAUCAAAAACGUAAUUGAUACAACCUGCCAGCCCUCAAAAGCUCUCCAUUCACAACAGGUUAGGACAAAACAUUUAAACAUUUAAGAAGAUUUAACAAAGCAAAACAUCUGUUUCCUCUUUCAACACCACGCCUCAGGCUGAGAAAACAUGCUUUACAAAAUCUCACAAAAUCUAAAAAAGUACUGAAAACCCACAGGACACAACAUAAUGUAAUAAUCAGAUACAAUAAUGGGUUCAUAUAUGAGUGUUUAAUGUCUGAGCAGCUCUAGAGUCAGAUAUUUAUGCCACAGUUGAAGGGUGUCAGAAAUAACACCAAAUGAAAUGUUUGACUUAGUUUAUUUUAUUUGAACCCAGUGGUUCGUUUCUGAAAUGUUGGAGAAUGAAUCAAGUUCUGUUUGAUGCAGAAAAUAAUAAAACACAAAACAAAUUCUACACUUCCAAUAAUAUUUAAGAUGUGUGUUUUAUUCUUCCUGAUAAUAACACCAGCAGAAGGCUGUGGGCUGGAUUAGGAUUAAAUUACCCAGGUUAUGGAUCUCCUUCACUAACCAGCUAACUAAAAACCUUUCCACUAACCUGUCCUGUGUGACCCUCAUGUCCAUGCUGUCUCUGGAGGAGCAGAUAGGAGACAAGUCUCCUGUAACUUAAAAUGAACCAAAGCUUCCUCCCAGUUUUUUAAAAUAGAAUUUAACAUCAGUUUAUCAUCAUGAAACAAAAUAAUAAAGUGGAACAAGAACUUCUUUCUUCUAUUUCUCUCCUUCUCUGUGUCCCUAAAUAAAAGAGACAGACGAUCACGCUGCAGCCACCGUCAUUGACCCCGCCCCCUCCCCAAGACCGGAUCUCCCUACAUUACAACAAGCAGUCUGACUGAGCGCUUCCAGGAGAAAUAAUAAUUAAAUUAUGAAAAUAAUAAUGCGUGUUUGGAGCAUCGGUUUGGAGGAGCGUCCUCCGAUCCUCUCGUGU